rnacentral:rRNA from 1 species
CUGGCGGAAUGCUUUCACAUGCAAGUCGAGCGGCAGCGCGGGGCAACCUGGCGGCGAGCGGCGAACGGGUGAGUAACACAUCGGAACGUACCCAGUUGUGGGGGAUAGCCCGGCGAAAGCCGGAUUAAUACCGCAUACGACCUGAGGGUGAAAGCGGGGGAUCGCAAGACCUCGCGCAAUUGGAGCGGCCGAUGGCGGAUUAGCUAGUUGGUAGGGUAAAGGCCUACCAAGGCGACGAUCCGUAGCGGGUCUGAGAGGACGACCCGCACACUGGAACUGAGACACGGUCCAGACUCCUACGGGAGGCAGCAGUGGGGAAUUUUGGACAAUGGGGGAAACCCUGAUCCAGCCAUUCCGCGUGAGUGAAGAAGGCCUUCGGGUUGUAAAGCUCUUUCGGCAGGAACGAAACGGUUUGCCCUAAUACGGCGAGCUAAUGACGGUACCUGAAGAAGAAGCACCGGCUAACUACGUGCCAGCAGCCGCGGUAAUACGUAGGGUGCGAGCGUUAAUCGGAAUUACUGGGCGUAAAGCGUGCGCAGGCGGUCCUAUAAGACAGAUGUGAAAUCCCCGGGCUCAACCUGGGAACUGCGUUUGUGACUGUAGAACUAGAGUGUGGCAGAGGGGGGUAGAAUUCCACGUGUAGCAGUGAAAUGCGUAGAGAUGUGGAGGAAUACCGAUGGCGAAGGCAGCCCCCUGGGUUAACACUGACGCUCAUGCACGAAAGCGUGGGGAGCAAACAGGAUUAGAUACCCUGGUAGUCCACGCCCUAACGAUGCGAAC